GAUUGGCGAUCCGUUGGAUACUAACCGAGUUAUAGGCAAAAUUUGGUGCAAAAAUGAGGAAAAUUUUACAUUUUUUCAAACAGGGUAAGGAACUUGGUUUCUCGAAUAACUUCUGGCACAUACAUCUGAGGGCAUGGCCGUCCGAGAAGAAAAUGUAGCCAUUGGUGCCAUCUAUCGACCACAGGUUAAAGAUUGGCGAUCCGUUGGAUACCGACCGAGUUAUAGACAAAACUUGGGGCAAAAAUGAGCCUUAGAAAAAUUUUAUUUUUUUGAUUUUUUUGAUUUUUUGAUUAUUUUUCACUCUUUUUUUUAUUUAAAGCAUUUCUUGAGUGAUAAGAAACACAUUGCAACCGAUUGGCAUUAAAAUAAAUCAAUUUAAUUUUUUUUGCAAAAUUUCUCAAAAAAAACGUAAGGGGUAAGCCUUAUAAAAUUUUCGAGUUGAAAAUUUUUGAAAAUUUUUUUUCUGAUUUUUGAUUAUUUUUUUAAUUUAACGCAUUAUUUGAGUGAAAUGAAACACAUUGCAACAAAUUUGCAUGAAAAUAUAUCACAUUUAUAAAUUUUGCUAAAUUGGUCAAAAAUGAGGAAAAUUUUACGAUUUCUCAAGCAGGGUAAGGAACUUGGUUCCUCGAAUAACUUCCGGCACAGACAUUUAAGGGCAUGACCGUCCAAGAAGAAAAUGUAGCCAUUAAUACCAUCUAUCGACCACAGGUUAAAGAUCGGCGAUCCGUUGGAUACCGACCGAAUUAUAGGCAAAAGUUGGUGCAAAAAUGAGGAAAAUUUAACAUUUUCUCAAACAGGGUAAGGAACUUGUUUCCUCGAAUAACUUCCGGCAGAGACAUCUGAGAGCAUGGCCGUCCAAGAAGAAAAUGUAGCCAUAGAUGCCAUCGAUCGACCACAGGUUAAAGAUCGGCGAUCCGUUGGAUACCGUCCGAGUUAUAGGCAAAACUUGCUGCAAAAAUGAGAAAAAUUUUACGUUUUCUCAAACAGGGUAAGGAACUUGUUUCCUCGAAUAACUUCCGGCAGAGACAUCUGAGAGCAUGGCCGUCCAAGAAGAAAAUGUAGCCAUAGGUGCCAUCUAUCGACCACAGGUUAAAGAUCGGCGAUCCGUUGGAUACCGACCGAGUUAUAGGCAAAACUUGGUGCAAAAAUGAGGAAAAUUUAACAUUUUCUCAAACAGGGUAUGGAACUUGUUUCCUCGAAUAACUUCCGGCAGAGACAUCUGAGAGCAUAGCCGUCCAAGAAGAAAAUGUAGCCAUAGGUGCCAUCUAUCGACCACAGGUUAAAGAUUGGCGAUCCGUUGGAUACCGACCGAGUUAUAGGCA